CUGACUUCGCCCGCCACUGGGCGCCCACCGCGUACGUUUCAAGAAGUGUUCAACGUUUGGCAGCGAGCAGCUGUGUCCCUGACCCGCGUCACUACUUUUGUUAGAGCAAACGCAGCGUCGACAACUGCCCGCCGUUCGUGAAGAAUGCCAAGAUGAGCUUCGCUUCGCAUCCAGUGAAUCAGUGUCCGGGAUAAAUCAACUAUGUGUGCGAAAACCACUCAGGAACACACUGUGCAUUGGUUCAGAAGGGGACUUCGUCUACAUGACAACCCUAGUCUGCGUGCGGGACUCAUAGGUGCGACGACAUUUCGGUGUAUUUUCAUCCUGGACCCUUGGUUCGCGGGUUCAUCUAAUGUCGGCAUUAACAAGUGGAGGUUUCUUCUCCAGUGUCUUGAAGACCUCGAUUCUAGCUUGCGGAAGCUCAAUUCUCGACUGUUCGUCAUUAGAGGGCAGCCAGCUGAUGCCCUUCCAAAAUUGUUUAAGCAGGAAUGGGGGACAACAAACUUGACCUUUGAGGAAGAUCCUGAACCAUUUGGAAAAGUGCGUGAUCAGAACAUAAUGGCAAUGUGUAGAGAAAUGGGAAUCUCAGUAAUUUCCAUAGCUUCACACACACUGUACAGUCUUGAUACGAUCAUUGAAAAAAAUGGAGGGAAAGCACCUUUAACUUACCACCAGUUUCAAAAUAUAGUGGCUUCCAUGGACUCACCACCUCCAGCUGAACCCAGUAUCACACCAGCAUGUGUGAAAGAUAAAUUUACCCCUAUUUCUGAUGACCAUGAUGAACGAUUUGGUGUUCCUACCUUAGAGGAAUUAGGUUUUGAUACUGAUGGCUUGAUGCCUCCUGUGUGGCAGGGAGGAGAAUCUGAGGCACUUGCGAGGCUGGAAAGGCACCUCGAAAGAAAGGCAUGGGUGGCAUCCUUUGGAAGACCUAGAAUGACAUCACAGUCAUUGCUUGCCAGUCAGACAGGUCUCAGUCCGUAUUUAAGAUUUGGCUGUUUGUCUACGAGGCUUUUCUAUUACCAGCUUACUGAUCUUUACAAAAAGAUAAAAAAGGCAUGCCCGCCUCUUUCUUUACAUGGACAGCUGUUAUGGCGGGAAUUUUUUUACUGUGCAGCAACAAAAAAUCCAUAUUUUGAUAAAAUGUAUGGAAACCCAAUAUGUGUACAAAUUCCAUGGGACAGGAAUCCAGAAGCACUUGCCAAGUGGGCCACAGGCCAAACAGGUUAUCCGUGGAUUGAUGCUAUAAUGAUCCAGUUGCGUGAAGAAGGUUGGAUACAUUAUUUAGCUAGGCAUGCUGUGGCGUGUUUCCUUACACGAGGAGAUUUGUGGAUUUCAUGGGAAGAAGGCAUGAAGGUGUUUGAUGAACUACUGCUUGAUGCUGACUGGUCUGUUAAUGCUGGAAUGUGGAUGUGGCUGUCUUGCUCAUCCUUCUUUCAGCAGUUCUUCCAUUGUUAUUGUCCUGUCCGGUUUGGUCGCAAGGCAGAUCCAAAUGGGGACUUCAUAAGGAAGUACCUGCCCAUUUUGAAGAACUUUCCAACACGGUAUAUCCAUGAACCUUGGAAAGCCCCUGAAUCAGUACAGAUAACAGCGAAGUGCAUCAUUGGGAAGGAGUUUCCUUUGCCUGUAGUGGACCACCAAUACGCAAGUCGAAUAAACAUAGAACGAAUGAAGCAAGUGUAUCAACAGUUAAGCAAAUAUCGAGGUCCAGCAAAAUUUUCAUGGCAGCAGAUCAACCACUGUUUUAAAUGAAAUUUUUCAACAAUUUUGCAGGCAAGGAAGAUAUUACUUCAAGCGCGUGUAAGGUUUUAGGUCUUUUGGCAACAGU
rnacentral:misc_RNA from 1 species